rnacentral:rRNA from 1 species
GACGAACGCUGGCGGCGUGCUUAACACAUGCAAGUCGAACGGAAAGGCCCUGCUUUUGUGGGGUGCUCGAGUGGCGAACGGGUGAGUAACACGUGAGUAACCGGCCCUUGACUUUGGGAUAACUUCAGGAAACUGGGGCUAAUACCGGAUAGGAGCUCCUGCUGCAUGGUGGGGGUUGGAAAGUUUCGGCGGUUGGGGAUGGACUCGCGGCUUAUCAGCUUGUUGGUGGGGUAGUGGCUUACCAAGGCUUUGACGGGUAGCCGGCCUGAGAGGGUGACCGGGUGCAUUGGGACUCACGUACGGCACAGACUCCUACGGGAGGCAGCAGUGGGGAAUAUUGCACAAUGGGCGGAAGCCUGAUGCAGCAACGCCGCGUGCGGGAUGACGCCCUUCGUGUUGUAAACCGCUUUCGCCUGUGACGAAGCGUGAGUGACGGUAAUGGGUAAAGAAGCACCGGCUAACUACGUG